UACGUAGGGUGCGAGCGUUGUCCGGAAUUAUUGGGCGUAAAGAGCUUGUAGGCGGUUUGUCGCGUCUGCUGUGAAAAUCCGGGGCUCAACCCCGGACUUGCAGUGGGUACGGGCAGACUAGAGUGUGGUAGGGGAGACUGGAAUUCCUGGUGUAGCGGUGAAAUGCGCAAAUAUCAGGAGGAACACCGAUGGCGAAGGCAGGUCUCUGGGCCACUACUGACGCUGAGAAGCGAAAGCAUGGGGAGCGAACAGG
rnacentral:rRNA from 1 species